rnacentral:misc_RNA from 1 species
AGCUGCCUCACUCUUAGCUUGCUAUUAAAGGGAGAAAAUCAAUUACCAACAACAUUUACUUGAAUAAAUCAUAACUUAAUUUCGCAGAAAUAUUUACUAUAGCUGAUAAUUAAAAUUCUGCAAAAAAUGAAAAAUAUGUAAUUAAUAUAUGGAGUUCAUCAUAAAAGGACCAAACCACAAUAAUGCUAAAAAUUGUGUCAAGUACAUGUUUGAGGCUAUAUCAGAUCUAUUUAAGAUGUGAAUAACUUUUUUUUUCUUUUGUUCUUUAAGAAUUAGGGGCGAGCAGUUUUCGGUUUAAACCGA